rnacentral:rRNA from 1 species
UACGAAGGGUGCAAGCGUUGUCCGGAUUUAUUGGGUUUAAAGGGUGCGUAGGCGGCCGAUUAAGUCUGGGGUGAAAGCCCGUUGCUCAACAACGGAACUGCCCUGGAAACUGGUCGGCUUGAGUACAGACGAGGGUGGCGGAAUGGAUGCUGUAGCGGUGAAAUGCAUAGAUAGCAUCCAGAACCCCCGAUUGCGAAGCAGCUGCCUAGACCUGA